AAAAGUAAAAUUUAAAAUAAAAAGAGGUUUGAAGAAGUUAUACAUGAUGAGGCUUCUUCACAUUUUUUUGGCUUUGCUCAUCAUGGCUUCAAUGUCAAAAGCUGAAUUAAUCAAUGUGGACAAACCCCCUGUUGGUCCAACAACUUGUCCUGUGCCUAAAAAUAAAUGUGGAGAGGCAUGCAUUAAGAGAUGCUCGGCUACAUCUCACAAAAACCCUUGCUUGUUUUAUUGCAACCAUUGUUGUGAAUGGUGUCAGUGUGUUCCACCAGGAACUGUUGGGAAUAAAGAGUGUUGUUCAUGCUACAAUAAUUGGAAGACAAAGAGAGGAGGACCAAAAUGUCCAUGAAAUUAAAUUAGUCAUGAAAAAAAUGGUUUUAUUGGAUCAAUUUUAUGUUUAAUUUCUUUGUUUGAUCUUCUUGAGAAGGGGUUUCCCAUAAAUUGUAAAAUCAAGAAUUAAUACUUCUUAAUUCUGUUUUCUGUUUGAACAUGAUCAACUAUUAUCUAUAUUGCAAAUUUUUAUGAACCAAAAAGAAACUGAAUUUCCUUUA